rnacentral:lncRNA from 1 species
UAACAUCCUAGUUUUACAAAUAUUAAAAUUAAACCAAAAUUUAAUUACAUAAAUGUCCAUUUACAGACUCAAAGCCCAAUUCAGUCCUUAACCCAAAUACUAAACCUAUCAGACCCACCACGCCCAAUAACCCAAAUUACAUCAAACCCGAGUCCAAAAACAACCCAAUUACAAUGGCCCAAAUUACCAGCCCAAUUCGGCCCAUUAGCCUAAAUACCCAAGCCCAAACUAGCCUAAGCAUUGGGAAAUCAGAAACCCUAGGCAGCAACAUUCGGCCUCAGCCGCCGCAGCAGAGCCAGGCCUCCUCCUCGCACGUGUUGCGCCUGCGCACGUGUAUCGCCUCCGCGCCAAAUCCACGCGAGCCUCCACGUCACCGCGCCUCCGUACGACCAUUCCUGCAACAAACAAAAGACGAACAACGCAGCACCAAACAAAAAAGGACAGAUAACAGUUGUAAAAAAAUUGAGAUUUUGAUUAUUUCUUUUGAUUUUUUGGCAAUAUAAGGCCAGAGAUCAGAUAUUGAAUAAAAAAAGAGUUUUCUGUAUUUUUCUUAUUAGUUUUUCUUCUUUCGGCUAUAAAAGUCCUUCUAAAUUCUAUAAAUGGAUCCUUUUUACACAGAUAUUGAAUACAAGAAAAAAUCAAAAAUAUUCAGAGGAAUCGAAAUCAAAAAGAUUUGAAAGGUGAUCUGCAGUUUUUUUUCUUUGUUUUUCUUUUUCUCUUCUCCGUUUCUUUUCAUUUCUAUUUUUUUCUAUAUGCGAAACAACAAAAAAAGGAGGAAAAGGAGUCGUACCUUGUCGUUGGAAGCUGUCGGAUCUCUGACCCUCUCCGUUGCAAUCGAAGUCUUGGUGGAGGUCGUAGACGCAAGAACGGCGCAGUACCUGGGGCUGGUACCUAGGUUUCUUUGAAAGGGGGAAAUUGAAUCAGAUGUUUUAGGUUUUUAGGUUUUG